GCGUGGACGAUGAAGGCCCUAGGGUUGUAAAGUCCUUUCACCGGUGACGAUAAUGACGGUAACCGGAGAAGAAGCCCCGGCUAACUCCGUGCCAGCAGCCGCGGUAAUACGGAGGGGGCUAGCGUUGUUCGGAAUUACUGGGCGUAAAGCGCACGUAGGCGGAUGUUCAAGUCGGAGGUGAAAUCCCGGGGCUCAACCCCGGAACUGCCCCCGAUACUGGAUGUCUUGAGGUCGAGAGAGGUGAGUGGAAUUCCGAGUGUAGAGGUGAAAUUCGU
rnacentral:rRNA from 1 species